GUGGGGCCCAGGCGGCUGCUCCUGCGCCGGCCUGUGCCGCUGCCUCCUUUCGCUUCUGCACCUUGGUUGUUGGGGUGAUGCUUUCUCCCCGCCGGCCUCGGAAGGAUGAGGUGCAGUCUCUUCCCCAGGCUCCGCGAGUUCUCGGAGGCAGAGCCACAGAUGGAAGGAGCCUGGAUCCCUGAGUUAAAGCUUAGAAGAAAUCCACCUGGGAGAGCCACCCAAUGAACAUCAGAAUCUGUCUCUGCCCCACUCCUGUGCCUCAUUUGGACUGCAGCUCAGUUGCUACCUCCUCAGGGAAGCCUUCGCCAACCCUACGGACCAGCUCCUUUCCCUGUUUUCUACUGUCUGCUACUGAGCACUUGACAUUUGUUCUGCCAUCCGACUAUAAGCUCUAUAAGGGAUAUGUGAAGAAAUGAAUAUUCACUUGAGCUGCAUUGGCAAUAAGAAUUACUUUGGGCUGUAUUUUGGAGAAACUGCAGACACAGGAGAAGCUCUGAAAACUGAGAAGUUAUUCUUUUGUAAGGGAUAUUUACAUUUAUAAGGGAAAACUUCUGUAAGGGUAUCUCCCUCUCUGUAACAAGAGGGGGAGGAUAACCGAAUCUAGAAACUUAUCAAUGGAGAAGACAAUGACCUAAAUCUGUGUAAUAACCUUACCCUCGUUUACUGUGCUUUCCCCAGUAGCCUCCCAUAACUAGCUCCCAACACCUUCUUUUGCCUUUAGCUGGAGGUGGUAUUUAAGGUGGUGACUUGAGCCGUUUCUGGGAGUUACUCAGUUUUUCUGAGUAUCUCCCAUGUAUACAGGAGGUACACGUGUUAUUAAACCUCCGUUUGUUUUUCUCUUGUUGCUCUAUCUUGUACUACAGGGGGUGUUUCAGCCAAGAACCUAGAAGGGCAGAGGGAAAUUAUUUUUCCUCCCUUACAUGUCAUCUGGAGGCUAUGUGAUGCCCCCUUGCUUCUUGUAUGUUGGUGCCAAUUCUCUGUCCUGUGAGGAGCUGCAGGUGCUGGCUCUGGUUUAGACAAGUUUUUUUAAAAUUAAAAAAAAAUUAAUAACAUCCUAAUUCAAAGAAAAAUUCUUCUGAUGUCUGUUACUCUCUGAAUGUGCUCAGUCCCGCAUGAAAUUUGGCACUCUAUGUAGUUACUCCCUUAAUUGCAUUCAUGUUUGAUACGUCAAACAGUUCUCAGAUCUGUCAACUUGAGAGCUUGAAGAAGAGCUCCCCGCAAAGCAUACUUCAUAUGAAUCUCAAAGGCUUACAUUACUCCUUAACUAAUCCAAACUGCUGGUCCAUGCCUUCCUCUGGCCAUUGUUCUUAGUUUGCCUGCUUACUUUGAAAGCAUCUUAUUUUUUUUCCUGGGUACCCUUUGCAUAUUCAACGGCUUACCUUUAAACAUGGAUGCUCAAACUAUCUUAUACUGGGUACGAUGUAUAAGGUGAGGUCUAGGGCACCUUCUUGUACAUGAAAGUGGAGGAAGAAUAAUUUAGAUCAAAGGGUCCAUUUCCCAAAAUAUUGGAAAAGUCUUCAUUUCCCUUUGUAUGUAAAACACCACCUAACAACCAAGUUAAGGGGGUUAAUAUUUUAUAUAGGCCCUUCAUAUGGUAAUGACGCUUUUUAAUAA